rnacentral:rRNA from 1 species
AAGCGGACCUCAUAAAGUGCGUCGUAGUCCGGAUUGGAGUCUGCAACUCGACUCCAUGAAGUCGGAAUCGCUAGUAAUCGUGGAUCAGAAUGCCACGGUGAAUACGUUCCCGGGCCUUGUACACACCGCCCGUCACACCAUGGGAGUGGGUUGCAAAAGAAGUAGGUAGCUUAACCUUCGGGAGGGCGCUUACCACUUUGUGAUUCAUGACUGGGGUGAAGUCGUAACAAGGUAACCGUAGGGGAACCUGCGGUUGGAUCACCUCCUUACCUGCAAGA